rnacentral:rRNA from 1 species
GGGGGGGGGGGGGGGGGGGGGGGGGGGAGGGGGGGCGAGGGGAGGGGGGGGGGGUGGGUGGGGGGGGCGGGUGGGGAGGGGGGGGGGAACACGUGGGUGCCCGGCCCUGGACUUUGGGAGAAGUUCAGGAAACGGGGGCGAAUACCGGGUAGGCGCUCCGGCUGCGUGGGGGGGGUGGGCACGUUUCGGCGGUUGGGGAUGGACCCGCGGCGUAUCAGCUGGUUGGUGGGGUAGUGGCUUACCAAGGCUUUGACGGGUAGCCGGCCUGAGAGGGUGACCGGCCACAUUGGGACUGAGAUACGGCCCAGACUCCUACGGGAGGCAGCAGUGGGGAAUAUUGCACAAUGGGCGGAAGCCUGAUGCAGCAACGCCGCGUGCGGGAUGACGGCCUUCGGGUUGUAAACCGCUUUCGCCUGUGACGAAGCGUGAGUGACGGUAAUGGGUAAAGAAGCACCGGCUAACUACGUG